rnacentral:rRNA from 2 species
GGAGAGUUUGAUCCUGGCUCAGGACGAACGCUGGCGGCGUGCUUAACACAUGCAAGUCGAACGGGCUGGCUCUGGUUUUUUGCUGGGGUUGGUUAGUGGCGAACGGGUGAGUAACACGUGAGUAACCUGCCCUCUUCUCCUGGAUAACUGCUUGAAAGGGCGGCUAAUACGGGGUGGUCUGGCCUGCCUGCAUGGGUGGGUUGGUAUAGGUUCAACUUUGGUUGUUCUGGUGGGGGAUGGGCUCGCGGCUUAUCAGCUUGUUGGUGGGGUGAUGGCUUACCAAGGCUUUGACGGGUAGCCGGCCUGAGAGGGUGGACGGUCACACUGGGACUGAGAUACGGCCCAGACUCCUGCGGGAGGCAGCAGUGGGGAAUAUUGCACAAUGGGCGGAAGCCUGAUGCAGCGACGUCGCGUGAGGGAUGGAGGCCUUCGGGUUGUGAACCUCUUUUUCCGGUGGUGAAGGCUUGCCUCGUUUGUGGGUGGGUUGACGGUAGCCGGGUUAGGAAGCGCCGGCUAACUACGUGCCAGCAGCCGCGGUAAUACGUAGGGCGCGAGCGUUGUCCGGAAUUACUGGGCGUAAAGGGCUUGUAGGCGGCUGGUCGCGUCUGCCGUGAAAUCCUCUGGCUUAACUGGGGGCUUGCGGUGGGUACGGGCUGGCUUGAGCGCAGUAGGGGAGAUUGGAACUCCUGGUGUAGCGGUGGAAUGCGCAGAUAUCAGGAGGAACACCGGUGGCGAAGGCGGGUCUCUGGGCUGUUGCUGACGCUGAGGAGCGAAAGCGUGGGGAGCGAACAGGAUUAGAUACCCUGGUAGUCCAUGCUGUAAACGUUGGGCACUGGGUGUGGGGGCCCUUUUCCGGGGUUUCCGCGCCGUAGCUAACGCGUUAAGUGCCCCGCCUGGGGAGUACGGCCGCAAGGCUAAAACUCAAAGGAAUUGACGGGGGCCCGCACAAGCGGCGGAGCAUGCGGAUUAAUUCGAUGCAACGCGAAGAACCUUACCAAGGCUUGACAUGGGCUGGUUGCUGCCGGAGACGGUGGUUCUCUUGCUGCUUUUUGUGGUUUGGGCUGGUCUGCAGGUGGUGCAUGGUUGUCGUCAGCUCGUGUCGUGAGAUGUUGGGUUAAGUCCCGCAACGAGCGCAACCCUUGUCUCGUGUUGCCAGCGCGUUAUGGCGGGGACUCGCGGGAGACUGCCGGGGUGAACUCGGAGGAAGGUGGGGAUGACGUCAAAUCAUCAUGCCCCUUAUGUCUUGGGCUUCACGCAUGCUACAAUGGCCGGUACAGUGGGUUGCGAUGCCGUGAGGUGGAGCGAAUCCCUUAAAGCCGGUCUCAGUUCGGAUCGGUGCCUGCAACUCGGCACCGUGAAGUUGGAGUCGCUAGUAAUCGCGGAUCAGCAACGCCGCGGUGAAUACGUUCUCGGGCCUUGUACACACCGCCCGUCACGUCAUGAAAGCCGGUGACGCCCGAAGCCCGUGGCCUUAUGGGGAGCGGUCGAAGGCGGGGCUGGUGAUUGGGACGAAGUCGUAACAAGGUAGCCGUACCGGAAGGUGCGGCUGGAUCACCUCCUUUCUAGGG